AACACAUGCAAGUCGAACGAUGAAGCCCAGCUUGCUGGGUGGAUUAGUGGCGAACGGGUGAGUAACACGUGAGCAACCUGCCCCUGACUCUGGGAUAAGCGCUGGAAACGGCGUCUAAUACUGGAUAUGUCCCGUCACCGCAUGGUGUGCGGGUGGAAAGAUUUUUCGGUUGGGGAUGGGCUCGCGGCCUAUCAGCUUGUUGGUGAGGUAAUGGCUCACCAAGGCGUCGACGGGUAGCCGGCCUGAGAGGGUGACCGGCCACACUGGGACUGAGACACGGCCCAGACUCCUACGGGAGGCAGCAGUGGGGAAUAUUGCACAAUGGGCGAAAGCCUGAUGCAGCAACGCCGCGUGAGGGAUGACGGCCUUCGGGUUGUAAACCUCUUUUAGCAGGGAAGAAGCGAAAGUGACGGUACCUGCAGAAAAAGCACCGGCUAACUACGUGCCAGCAGCCGCGGUAAUACGUAGGGCGCAAGCGUUAUCCGGAAUUAUUGGGCGUAAAGAGCUCGUAGGCGGUCUGUCGCGUCUGCUGUGAAAUCCCGAGGCUCAACCUCGCGCUUUGCAGUGGGU
rnacentral:rRNA from 1 species